UACGAAGGGGGCUAGCGUUGUUCGGAUUUACUGGGCGUAAAGCGCACGUAGGCGGAUUGGUCAGUUAGGGGUGAAAUCCUGGAGCUCAACUCCAGAACUGCCUUUAAUACUGCCAGUCUCGAGUCCGGAAGAGGUAAGUGGAACUCCUAGUGUAGAGGUGGAAUUCGUAGAUAUUAGGAAAGAACACCAGUGGCGAAGGCGGCUUACUGGUCCGGUACUGACGCUGAGGUGCGAAAGCGUGGGGAGCAAACAGG
rnacentral:rRNA from 1 species